rnacentral:rRNA from 1 species
UACGAAGGGGGCGAGCGUUAUUCGGAAUCACUGGGCGUAAAGCGUGCGUAGGCUGUUCAGCAAGUUAGAUGUGAAAGCCGGGGCUCAACCCCGGAACUGCAUUUAAAACUGCUGGACUCGAAUUCGAGAGAGGAUGGCGGAAUUUCCAGUGUAGUAGUGAAAUUCGUAGAUAUUCGCAAGAACACCAGUGGCGAAGGCGGCUCACUGGCCCGAUACUGACGCUGAGGCACGAAAGCGUGGGGAGCAAACAGG